CGGCGUGGAUGAGGCAUGCAAGUCGAACGAAACCUUCGGGUUUAGUGGCGGAAGGGUUAGUAAGACAUGGAUAACUUGCCUUUAACUCUGGGAUAACGGUUGGAAACGACCGCUAAUACCGGAUAGGGUGAAAAGAAGACAUCUUUUUUUUAUUAAAGUGGGGGAUCGCAAGACCUCGCGGUUAAAGAGAGGUCCAUGGGAUAUCAGCUAGUUGGUGUGGUAAAGGCGCACCAAGGCUAAGACGUCUAGGCGGAUUGAGAGAUUGACCGCCAACACUGGGACUGAG
rnacentral:rRNA from 1 species